GUGGUUUGUCGCGUCGUUUGUGGAAUACCGCAGCUUAACUGCGGGGUUGCAGGCGAUACGGGCAUAACUUGAGUGCUGUAGGGGAGACUGGAAUUCCUGGUGUAGCGGUGGAAUGCGCAGAUAUCAGGAGGAACACCGAUGGCGAAGGCAGGUCUCUGGGCAGUAACUGACGCUGAGGAGCGAAAGCAUGGGUAGCGAACAGGAUUAGAUACCCUGGUAGUCCAUGCCGUAAACGGUGGGCGCUAGGUGUGAGUCCCUUCCACGGGGUUCGUGCCGUAGCUAACGCAUUAAGCGCCCCGCCUGGGGAGUACGGCCGCAAGGCUAAAACUCAAAGGAAUUGACGGGGGCCCGCACAAGCGGCGGAGCAUGUGGACUAAUUCGAUGCAACGCGAAGAACCUUACCUGGGCUUGACAUACACCGGAUCGCUGCAGAGAUGUAGUUUCCCUUGUGGCUGGUGUACAGGUGGUGCAUGGUUGUCGUCAGCUCGUGUCGUGAGAUGUUGGGUUAAGUCCCGCAACGAGCGCAACCCUUGUCUUAUGUUGCCAGCAUUUGGUUGGGGACUCAUGAGAGACUGCCGGGGUUAACUCGGAGGAAGGUGGGGAUGACGUCAAAUCAUCAUGCCCCUUAUGUCCAGGGCUUCACACAUGCUACAAUGGUCGGUACAACGCGUUGCGACACUGUGAGGUGGAGCUAAUCGCCUAAAGCCGGCCUUAGUUCGGAUUGGGGUCUGCAACUCGACCCCAUGAAGUCGGAGUCGCUAGUAAUCGCAGAUCAGCAACGCU
rnacentral:rRNA from 1 species